rnacentral:rRNA from 1 species
UACGGGGGGGGCAAGCGUUGUUCGGAAUUACUGGGCGUAAAGGGCUCGUAGGUGGCCAACUAAGUCAGACGUGAAAUCCCUCGGCUUAACCGGGGAACUGCGUCUGAUACUGGAUGGCUUGAGUUUGGGAGAGGGACGCGGAAUUCCAGGUGUAGCGGUGAAAUGCGUAGAUAUCUGGAGGAACACCGGUGGCGAAGGCGGCGUCCUGGACCAACACUGACACUGAGGAGCGAAAGCCAGGGGAGCAAACGG